rnacentral:rRNA from 1 species
UACGGAGGGGGCAAGCGUUGUUCGGAAUUAUUGGGCGUAAAGCGUAUGUAGGCGGCCGAGUAAGUCAGACGUGCAAGCCCGUGGCUCAACCACGGAAUUGCGUUUGAAACUGCUUGGCUUGAGUACAGGAGAGGAAAGCGGAAUUCCCAGUGUAGCGGUGAAAUGCAUUGAUAUUGGGAAGAACAUCUGUGGCGAAGGCGACUAACUGGGCCAUUUUUGACGCUGAGAUACGAAAGCGUGGGUAGCAAACAGG